rnacentral:rRNA from 2 species
ACGGGUGAGUAAUGCAUCGGGAUCUACCCUGACGUGGGGGAUAACCUCGGGAAACCGGGACUAAUACCGCAUACGUCCUACGGGAGAAAGCGGGGGACCUUUUAGGCCUCGCGCGGCAGGACGAACCGAUGUGCGAUUAGCUAGUUGGCGGGGUAAUGGCCCACCAAGGCGACGAUCGCUAGCUGGUCUGAGAGGAUGAUCAGCCACACUGGGACUGAGACACGGCCCAGACUCCUACGGGAGGCAGCAGUGGGGAAUAUUGGACAAUGGGCGCAAGCCUGAUCCAGCAAUGCCGCGUGUGUGAAGAAGGCCUUCGGGUUGUAAAGCACUUUUAUCAGGAGCGAAAUCUGCAUGCUUAAUACGUGUGCAGUCUGACGGUACCUGAGGAAUAAGCACCGGCUAACUUCGUGCCAGCAGCCGCGGUAAUACGAAGGGUGCAAGCGUUAAUCGGAAUUACUGGGCGUAAAGGGUGCGUAGGCGGUUCGUUAAGUCUGUCGUGAAAUCCCCGGGCUCAACCUGGGAAUGGCGAUGGAUACUGGCGAGCUAGAGUGUGUCAGAGGAUGGUGGAAUUCCCGGUGU